AUACGGAGGGGGCUAGCGUUGUUCGGAAUUACUGGGCGUAAAGCGCACGUAGGCGGAUUGGAAAGUUGGGGGUGAAAGCCCGAGGCUCAACCUCGGAAUUGCCUUCAAAACUACCAGUCUAGAGUCCGGGAGAGGUGAGUGGAAUUCCUAGUGUAGAGGUGAAAUUCGUAGAUAUUAGGAGGAACACCAGUGGCGAAGGCGGCUCACUGGCCCGGUACUGACGCUGAGGUGCGAAAGCGUGGGGAGCAAACAGGAUUAGAAACCCCAGUAGUCC
rnacentral:rRNA from 1 species